rnacentral:lncRNA from 1 species
CUUCAGUGGACUUGGAAGCAACGAACGAGCACGGAUGCUGAUCAAAUUUUUUCUGAUCGCACAGGCGAUCUUUGGAAACUUCAGUGAUACCUGACGACUGGCGAAGGGCCAAAGUAAUACCUGUGCACAAAUCUGGCUCUAAACUCGACCGCCCGUCUCGUGCUUCUGAAAAGAGCUUGCGGUAUUGGCGUGAACAGACAGGCAAGUGGACGUAUUUAUUCUACAGUUAUUGAACAGUUACUUAUCGAUACAUCUUGAAGUUAGCCUACAAGCUGUCGUUAAAAGUUCCGUCUUUCAGUAAUCCUUGUGCAGCGUACUCUCAGCUCAAUACGAAAUUCUUGACUGCGUUCUCGAGUUUCGUUUAAUGGUAAUGAGAAGGAGUUAGAUAAUGCACAGAGGCAAGGUUUUGUCUGGUCUUGCAGGAGUCCCAGGUGCUUUUUCCGCCGCGUACACUGUCGCAAUCGUUACACGUCUGAGGAACCAGACUGGCGGCGCAUAGGUAAAGCCGGCUGCCACUGCAAGCCGCAGUCGCCUACAUUGUCGCUAUAAAGAGGAAAUUUGUACGUGUACUAAGUGUACGCAACGUUUCUUUGUUUAGUAUAAUUUGGCGGUGCCUCCAGCAGACAAAAUGUGGAUCCCGUACUGCUCCGUCGGUUUGGGCUCGGCAAUG